GCGUCCUUCGCCAAGUGGGAAGGCUGGGGUUUUACAUACCUCGAUUGACCUGGUUCGAUUCCAGGAGGACGCACCA
rnacentral:tRNA from 2 species